rnacentral:tRNA from 1 species
AGGGGCGUAGUUCAUUGGUAGAGCACCGGUCUCCAAACCGGGUGUUGGGAGUUCGAGUCUCUCCGCCCCUGCCA